GACGAACGCUGGCGGCGUGCUUAACACAUGCAAGUCGAACGGUAAGGCUCCAGCUUGCUGGGGUACACGAGUGGCGAACGGGUGAGUAACACGUGGGUGACCUGCCCUGCACUUCGGGAUAAGCCUGGGAAACUGGGUCUAAUACCGGAUAGGACCGCACCGUGAGGGUGUGGUGGAAAGUUUUUUCGGUGUGGGAUGGGCCCGCGGCCUAUCAGCUUGUUGGUGGGGUAAUGGCCUACCAAGGCGGCGACGGGUAGCCGGCCUGAGAGGGUGGACGGCCACAUUGGGACUGAGACACGGCCCAGACUCCUACGGGAGGCAGCAGUGGGGAAUAUUGCACAAUGGGCGGAAGCCUGAUGCAGCGACGCCGCGUGGGGGAUGACGGCCUUCGGGUUGUAAACUCCUUUCACCAUCGACGGAGGGUUUCUGACGGUAGAUGGAGAAGAAGCACCGGCUAACUACGUGCCAGCAGCCGCGGUAAUACGUAGGGUGCGAGCGUUGUCCGGAAUUACUGGGCGUAAAGAGCUCGUAGGUGGUUUGUCGCGUCGUCUGUGAAAUUCCGGGGCUUAACUCCGGGCGUGCAGGCGAUACGGGCAUAACUUGAGUACUGUAGGGGAGACUGGAAUUCCUGGUGUAGCGGUGAAAUGCGCAGAUAUCAGGAGGAACACCGGUGGCGAAGGCGGGUCUCUGGGCAGUAACUGACGCUGAGGAGCGAAAGCAUGGGGAGCGAACAGGAUUAGAUACCCUGGUAGUCCAUGCCGUAAACGGUGGGCGCUAGGUGUGGGUUUCCUUCCACGGGAUCCGUGCCGUAGCUAACGCAUUAAGCGCCCCGCCUGGGGAGUACGGCCGCAAGGCUAAAACUCAAAGGAAUUGACGGGGGCCCGCACAAGCGGCGGAGCAUGUGGAUUAAUUCGAUGCAACGCGAAGAACCUUACCUGGGCUUGACAUAUACAGGAUCGCGCCAGAGAUGGUGUUUCCCUUGUGGCUUGUAUACAGGUGGUGCAUGGUUGUCGUCAGCUCGUGUCGUGAGAUGUUGGGUUAAGUCCCGCAACGAGCGCAACCCUUGUCUUAUGUUGCCAGCACGUUGUGGUGGGGACUCGUAAGAAACUGCCGGGGUUAACUCGGAGGAAGGUGGGGAUGACGUCAAAUCAUCAUGCCCCUUAUGUCCAGGGCUUCACACAUGCUACAAUGGUCGGUACAGUGGGUUGCCAGUCCGUGAGGGCGAGCUAAUCCCGCAAAGCCGGUCUCAGUUCGGAUCGGGGUCUGCAACUCGACCCCGUGAAGUCGGAGUCGCUAGUAAUCGCAGAUCAGCAACGCUGCGGUGAAUACGUUCCCGGGCCU
rnacentral:rRNA from 1 species